ensembl:snRNA U6 U6 spliceosomal RNA
GUGCUCGCUUUGGCAGCACAUAUACUAAAAUCGGAAUGAUACAGAGAAGAUUAGCAUGGCCCCUGCUCAAUUACAAUAUGCAAAUUCAUGAAGUGUUCCAUAUUUAA